AGUGAAUGCUGGCGGUAGGCCUAACACAUGCAAGUCGAACGGCAGCACAGUAAGAGCUUGCUCUUACGGGUGGCGAGUGGCGGACGGGUGAGGAAUACAUCGGAAUCUACUUUUUCGUGGGGGAUAACGUAGGGAAACUUACGCUAAUACCGCAUACGACCUACGGGUGAAAGCAGGGGAUCUUCGGACCUUGCGCGAUUGAAUGAGCCGAUGUCGGAUUAGCUAGUUGGCGGGGUAAAGGCCCACCAAGGCGACGAUCCGUAGCUGGUCUGAGAGGAUGAUGGGCGACAGUGGAAAUGAGAGACCGUCCGGACGACUAAGGGAGCGAGAAGUCGGGAAUAUUGGAGAAGGGGCGGAAGCCUGAUCCAGCCAUACCGGGUGGGGGAAGAAGGCCUGCGGGUUGUACAGGCGUUUUGUUGGCAAAGAAAAGCAGACGCUUAAUAAACCGCUGGUCUGACGGGACCCAAAGAAUAAGCACCGGCUAACUUCGUG
rnacentral:rRNA from 1 species